rnacentral:rRNA from 1 species
GAGUUUGAUCAUGGCUCAGGACGAACGCUGGCGGCGUGCCUAAUACAUGCAAGUCGAACGAACGGAUAAAGAGCUUGCUCUUUUGAAGUUAGUGGCGGACGGGUGAGUAAUACGUGGGUAACCUGCCUCACAGCUGGGGAUAACAUCGAGAAAUCGAUGCUAAUACCGAAUGUGCUGAACAUCAUAAGAUGUUCAAGUGAAAGACGGUUUCGGCUGUCACUGUGAGAUGGACCCGCGCUGGAUUAGCUAGUUGGUAAGUAAUGGCUUACCAAGGCGACGAUCCAUAGCCGACCUGAGAGGGUGAUCGGCCACAUUGGGACUGGAGACACGGCCCAAACUCCUACGGGAGGCAGCAGUAGGGAAUCUUCGGCAAUGGACGAAAGUCUGACCGAGCAACGCCGCGUGAGCGAAGAAGGCCU